rnacentral:rRNA from 1 species
CUACGGGCCGCUGCAGUGAGGAAUAUUGCACAAUGGGGGGAACCCUGAUGCAGCAACGCCGCGUGGAGGAUGACGCAUUACGGUGUGUAAACUCCUUUUAUAUGUCAAGAAAAUGACGGUAGCAUAUGAAUAAGCACCGGCUAACUCCGUGCCAGCAGCCGCGGUAAUACGGAGGGUGCAAGCGUUACUCGGAAUCACUGGGCGUAAAGGACGCGUAGGCGGGUUGGAAAGUCAGGUGUGAAAUCCUACAGCUUAACUGUAGAACUGCACUUGAAACUUCUAAUCUAGAGUAUGGGAGGGGGAGAUGGAAUUAGUGGUGUAGGGGUAAGAUCCGUAGAUAUCACUAGGAAUACCUAAAGCGAAGGCGAUCUCCUGGAACAUUACUGACGCUAAGGCGUGAAAGCGUGGGGAGCAAACAGGAUUAGAUACCCUAGUAGUC